rnacentral:rRNA from 1 species
UUGAUUAUGACGUACUUGUACUGAUUGAGAUUUUAACACGAAGUGAGUGGCGAACGGGUGAGUAACACGUGGGUAACCUGCCCAGAAGUAGGGGAUAACACCUGGAAACAGAUGCUAAUACCGUAUAACAGAGAAAACCGCAUGGUUUUCUUUUAAAAGAUGGCUCUGCUAUCACUUCUGGAUGGACCCGCGGCGUAUUAGCUAGUUGGUGAGGUAAAGGCUCACCAAGGCAGUGAUACGUAGCCGACCUGAGAGGGUAAUCGGCCACAUUGGGACUGAGACACGGCCCAGACUCCUACGGGAGGCAGCAGUAGGGAAUCUUCCACAAUGGACGCAAGUCUGAUGGAGCAACGCCGCGUGAGUGAAGAAGGGUUUCGGCUCGUAAAGCUCUGUUGUUAAAGAAGAACGUGGGUAAGAGUAACUGUUUACCCAGUGACGGUAUUUAACCAGAAAGCCACGGCUAACUACGUGCCAGCAGCCGCGGUAAUACGUAGGUGGCAAGCGUUAUCCGGAUUUAUUGGGCGUAAAGCGAGCGCAGGCGGUCUUUUAAGUCUAAUGUGAAAGCCUUCGGCUCAACCGAAGAAGUGCAUUGGAAACUGGGAGACUUGAGUGCAGAAGAGGACAGUGGAACUCCAUGUGUAGCGGUGAAAUGCGUAGAUAUAUGGAAGAACACCAGUGGCGAAGGCGGCUGUCUGGUCUGCAACUGACGCUGAGGCUCGAAAGCAUGGGUAGCGAACAGGAUUAGAUACCCUGGUAGUCCAUGCCGUAAACGAUGAUUACUAAGUGUUGGAGGGUUUCCGCCCUUCAGUGCUGCAGCUAACGCAUUAAGUAAUCCGCCUGGGGAGUACGACCGCAAGGUUGAAACUCAAAAGAAUUGACGGGGGCCCGCACAAGCGGUGGAGCAUGUGGUUUAAUUCGAAGCUACGCGAAGAACCUUACCAGGUCUUGACAUCUUCUGACAGUCUAAGAGAUUAGAGGUUCCCUUCGGGGACAGAAUGACAGGUGGUGCAUGGUUGUCGUCAGCUCGUGUCGUGAGAUGUUGGGUUAAGUCCCGCAACGAGCGCAACCCUUAUUACUAGUUGCCAGCAUUAAGUUGGGCACUCUAGUGAGACUGCCGGUGACAAACCGGAGGAAGGUGGGGACGACGUCAAAUCAUCAUGCCCCUUAUGACCUGGGCUACACACGUGCUACAAUGGAUGGUACAACGAGUCGCGAGACCGCGAGGUUAAGCUAAUCUCUUAAAACCAUUCUCAGUUCGGACUGUAGGCUGCAACUCGCCUACACGAAGUCGGAAUCGCUAGUAAUCGCGGAUCAGCAUGCCGCGGUGAAUACGUUCCCGGGCCUUGUACACACCGCCCGUCACACCAUGAGAGUUUGUAACACCCAAAGCCGGUGGGGUAACCUUUAGGAG